ensembl:lncRNA
AUGGUUCCAUACCAUUUAAUUUCUCAGUUGCCAUGUCUGAAUGUUUAUCUUUGUAAUAAUGCUAUUUUUAUGCUCCUCAUUUCAAUAUACAGGUGUAACAAAAAUGGAGAACAAAGUCUGAGCCAUGCCAGGAAUUUUACAAAAUGUACACACUGCAGCCCUGCAGACACUGCAAUGAGGUUUACAAGAACUGCUUACCAGGCUCACCAGAGACCCCACACGCACCCAAAGAACUGGAGUCCCUCAUCAGCAGUUCUGCGACAUCUGAACCCAUGAUCCUCUACAUAACACCAACACAUACUCACAUUAACAGUGCAAAAGGGGCAGACAAACAAAGCUGAAAAGAAUGGCCUUCAGAUUUAUUAUGCAGUGGCUUAGAACUGAUAACAUAAAAAUACUGUAAUGUAAUGAGAUGAGUGUAAUGAGAAAUGGGACUUACUCCAUUCUGUCUGCACAGCAAUAUUAGUAGAUGCCACAAGAGGGAAGCAGAAGUGGCAGCCUCUAAUUUCUCAUUCUACAGACAUUUCUCUGACAUUUGGAGGGCAAAGUUAAUGGCAAUCUUCCCUUCACGAAAAAAGAAGAAAAGCAGCAAUCUAGUUAAGCAGAUGGGGUUUCAAAUCUACAAAAUCUGACUACUUUUAACUAUCCUCCAUACCGAGUGCAACAGCUGGAUUCUGGAAGUAAAAGUCCCAUUUAUUUUCUCCUUAGAGAAAAAAAUAACAACAACAAAAAAACAUUUUAUAUAAAAUAUAUAUUUUAUAUAAAUAUUUAAAGACACACCUACUGUGGGCUAUGAUGUUCUUAAUAGAAGGGUUAUGCUUCUGUCAAAGCCAUCAGUCCACAUUAUUUCAACUAAUUUUUUAAAUUAAUUUUAAUUUUUUCAUGAUUAACAACCAAAUGUGGUUAUUUUGAAGUUUUAAUUCAUCAAAAAAUCCAGAAGAAUUUUGUACCUCACUUUCCACAAAAUCUUUAAGCAGCACAACUGUUCAACAUUCAUAAGUUCAACAGUGAUAAGAAAUUUGCUGUUUUUCAUCAAUUACAGAUUUGGUUUCUAUAUCUAUAAUAAAUUUCAAAUCAAUAUAGUUUUUUUUAUUUCA